CCUACGGGGGGCAGCAGUGAGGAAUAUUGGUCAAUGGGCGUAAGCCUGAACCAGCCAAGUCGCGUGAGGGAUGAAGGUUCUACGGAUCGUAAACCUCUUUUAUAAGGGAAUAAAGUGCGGGACGUGACCCGUUUUGUAUGUACUUUAUGAAUAAGGAUCGGCUAACUCCGUGCCAGCAGCCGCGGUAAUACGGAGGAUCCGAGCGUUAUCCGGAUUUAUUGGGUUUAAAGGGUGCGUAGGCGGGUUUUUAAGUCAGCUGUGAAAGUCUGUGGCUCAACCAUAGAAUUGCAGUUGAGACUGGCAGUCUUGAGUAUGGUUGAGGUAGGCGGAAUGCGUGGUGUAGCGGUGAAAUGCUUAGAGAUCACGAAGAACCCCGAUUGCGAAGGCAGCCUGCUAAGCCAUAACUGACGCUGAUGCUCGAAAGCGUGGGGAUCAAACAGGAUUAGAUACCCUGGUAGUC
rnacentral:rRNA from 1 species